GUCCUACGGGGCGCAGCAGUGGGGGAUAUUGCACAAUGGGCGCAAGCCUGAUGCAGCGACGCCGCGUGAGCGAAGAAGUAUUUCGGUAUGUAAAGCUCUAUCAGCAGGGAAGAGAAUGACGGUACCUGACUAAGAAGCCCCGGCUAACUACGUGCCAGCAGCCGCGGUAAUACGUAGGUGGCGAGCGUUAUCCGGAAUGAUUGGGCGUAAAGGGUGCGUAGGCGGCCUGCUAAGUCUGGAGUGAAAGGUACCGGCUCAACCGGUACAGGCUCUGGAAACUGGCGGGCUAGAGCGCAGGAGAGGGG
rnacentral:rRNA from 1 species